rnacentral:rRNA from 1 species
GACGAACGCUGGCGGCGUGCUUAACACAUGCAAGUCGAACGGUAAGGCUCCUUCGGGAGUACACGAGUGGCGAACGGGUGAGUAACACGUGAGCAACCUGCCCUUGACUUUGGGAUACCAGCUGGAAACAGCUGCUAAUACCGGAUAUGACCCUAUUACUCAUGUUUUGGGGUGGAAAGCUCCGGCGGUCAGGGAUGGGCUCGCGGCCUAUCAGCUUGUUGGUGAGGUAAUGGCUCACCAAGGCUUCGACGGGUAGCCGGCCUGAGAGGGCGACCGGCCACACUGGGACUGAGAUACGGCCCAGACUCCUACGGGAGGCAGCAGUGGGGAAUAUUGCACAAUGGGCGCAAGCCUGAUGCAGCAACGCCGCGUGCGGGAUGACGGCCUUCGGGUUGUAAACCGCUUUCAGUAGGGACGAAGCUAACGUGACGGUACCUACAGAGGAAGGACCGGCUAACUACGUGCCAGCAGCCGCGGUGAUACGUAGGGUCCGAGCGUUGUCCGGAAUUAUUGGGCGUAAAGGGCUUGUAGGCGGUCCGUCGCGUCAGGAGUGAAAACUCGGGGCUUAACCCCGAGCCUGCUUUUGAUACGGGCGGACUAAAGGGAUGCAGGGGAGAACGGAAUUCCUGGUGGAGCGGUGGAAUGCGCAGAUAUCAGGAGGAACACCGGUGGGCGAAGGCGGUUCUCUGGGCAUCACCUGACGCUGAGAAGCGAAAGCGUGGGGAGCAAACAGGCUUAGAUACCCUGGUAGUCCACGCCGUAAACGGUGGGCACUAGGUGUGGGGGACAUUCCACGUUCUCCGUGCCGAAGCUAACGCAUUAAGUGCCCCGCCUGGGGAGUACGGCCGCAAGGCUAAAACUCAAAGGAAUUGACGGGGGCCCGCACAAGCGGCGGAGCAUGCGGAUUAAUUCGAUGCAACGCGAAGAACCUUACCUGGGUUUGACAUACACCGGAAAGCUGCAGAGAUGUAGCCCCCGCAAGGUCGGUGUACAGGUGGUGCAUGGCUGUCGUCAGCUCGUGUCGUGAGAUGUUGGGUUAAGUCCCGCAACGAGCGCAACCCUCGUCCUAUGUUGCCAGCGGAUAAUGCCGGGGACUCAUAGGAGACUGCCGGGGUCAACUCGGAGGAAGGUGGGGAUGACGUCAAGUCAUCAUGCCCCUUAAGUCCAGGGCUUCACGCAUGCUACAAUGGCCGGUACAAAGGGCUGCGAUACCGCAAGGUGGAGCGAAUCCCAAAAAGCCGGUCUCAGUUCGGAUUGGGGUCUGCAACUCGACCCCAUGAAGUCGGAGUCGCUAGUAAUCGCAGAUCAGCAACGCUGCGGUGAAUACGUUCCCGGGCCU